rnacentral:rRNA from 1 species
AUUGGACUUUAGUCGCGCAGUAUAGGUGGGAGGCGUUGAGAAUACUCUUGCGGGAGUAUUGGAGCUAUCAGUGAGAUACCACUCUUCUAAUGUUAGAUUUCUAACUUUGAACCAUUAUCUGGUCAAAGAACAGUUUCAGGCGGGCAGUUUGACUGGGGCGGUCGCCUCCCAAAUGGUAACGGAGGCGUACAAAGGUUUCCUCUGAACGGGUAGAAAUCGUAUCUAGAGUGUAAAGGCAUAAGGAAGCUUGACUGUGAGACCUACAAGUCGAACAGGGACGAAAGUCGGUCUUAGUGAUCUGACGGUACUGAGUGGAAAGGCCGUCACUCAACGGAUAAAAGUUACUCUAGGGAUAAC